rnacentral:rRNA from 1 species
GAUGAACGCUGGCGGCGUGCCUAAUACAUGCAAGUCGAGCGAACAGACGAGGAGCUUGCUCCUCUGACGUUAGCGGCGGACGGGUGAGUAACACGUGGAUAACCUACCUAUAAGACUGGGAUAACUUCGGGAAACCGGAGCUAAUACCGGAUAAUAUAUUGAACCGCAUGGUUCAAUAGUGAAAGACGGUUUUGCUGUCACUUAUAGAUGGAUCCGCGCCGCAUUAGCUAGUUGGUAAGGUAACGGCUUACCAAGGCAACGAUGCGUAGCCGACCUGAGAGGGUGAUCGGCCACACUGGAACCGAGACACCGUCCAGACUCCUACGGGAGGCAGCAGUAGGGAAUCUUCCGCAAUGGGCGAAAGCCUGACGGAGCAACGCCGCGUGAGUGAUGAAGGUCUUCGGAUCGUAAAACUCUGUUAUUAGGGAAGAACAAAUGUGUAAGUAACUAUGCACGUCUUGACGGUACCUAAUCAGAAAGCCACGGCUAACUACGUG